rnacentral:rRNA from 1 species
GGCACGAGUUCAGACUCGUGGCGAAUAGCUCAGUAACACGUGGCCAAACUACCCUUCGGAACACAAUACCCUCGGGAAACUGAGGCUAAUGGUGUAUACCAUACCACCACUGGAAUGAGUGGUAUGUCAAACGCUCCGGCGCCGAAGGAUGUGGCUGCGGCCGAUUAGGUAGACGGUGGGGUAACGGCCCACCGUGCCAAUAAUCGGUACGGGUCAUGAGAGUGAGAACCCGGAGACGGAAUCUGAGACAAGAUUCCGGGCCCUACGGGGCGCAGCAGGCGCGAAACCUUUACACUGCACGACAGUGCGAUAGGGGGAUCCCAAGUGCACAGGCAUAGCGCCUGUGCUUUUCGGUACCGUAAGGUGGUACCAGAAUAAGGGCUGGGCAAGACCGGUGCCAGCCGCCGCGGUAAUACCGGCAGCCCAAGUGAUGGCCGAUCUUAUUGGGCCUAAAGCGUCCGUAGCUGGCCGCGCAAGUCCAUCGGGAAAUCCACCUGCUCAACAGGUGGGCGCCCGGUAGAAACUGCGUGGCUUGGGACCGGAAGGCGCGACGGGUACGUCCGGGGUAGGAGUGAAAUCCCGUAAUCCUGGACGGACCGCCGAUGGCGAAAGCACGUCGCGAGAACGGAUCCGACAGUGAGGGACGAAAGCCAGGGUCUCGAACCGGAUUAGAUACCCGGGUAGUCCUGGCCGUAAACAAUGUCUGCUAGGUGUGGCUCCCACUACGAGUGGGUGCUGUGCCGUAGGGAAGCCGCUAAGCAGACCGCCUGGGAAGUACGUCCGCAAGGAUGAAACUUAAAGGAAUUGGCGGGGGAGCACUACAACCGGAGGAGCCUGCGGUUUAAUUGGACUCAACGCCGGACAUCUCACCAGCAUCGACUGUAAUAAUGACGACCAGGUUGAUGACCUUGUCCGAGUUUCAGAGAGGAGGUGCAUGGGCCGCCGUCAGCUCGUACC